rnacentral:rRNA from 1 species
GGUUAAGUGAAUAAGGGCGCACGGUGGAUGCCUUGGCACUAGGAGCCGAUGAAGGACGGGACUAACACCGAUAUGCUUUGGGGAGCUGUAAGUAAGCUAUGAUCCAGAGAUUUCCGAAUGGGGGAACCCAAUAUCUUUUAUAGGAUAUUACUUUUCAGUGAAUACAUAGCUGAUUAGAGGUAGACGCAGAGAACUGAAACAUCUUAGUACCUGCAGGAAGAGAAAGAAAAUUCGAUUCCCUGAGUAGCGGCGAGCGAAACGGGAAGAGCCCAAACCAACAAGCUUGCUUGUUGGGGUUGUAGGACUCCAAUAUGGUAGUCUGUUAGUAUAGUUGAAGGAUUUGGAAAAUUCCGCUAAAGAGGGUGAAAGCCCCGUAGACGAAAUGCUGACAACACCUAGGAGGAUCCUGAGUACGGCGGAACACGAGAAAUUCCGUCGGAAUCCGCGGGGACCAUCCCGCAAGGCUAAAUACUCCCUAGUGACCGAUAGUGAACCAGUACCGUGAGGGAAAGGUGAAAAGCACCCCGGAAGGGGAGUGAAAUAGAUCCUGAAACCGUGUGCCUACAACAAGUCAAAGCUCGUUAAUGAGUGAUGGCGUGCCUUUUGUAGAAUGAACCGGCGAGUUACGAUUGCAUGCGAGGUUAAGUCGAAGAGACGGAGCCGCAGCGAAAGCGAGUCUGAAUAGGGCGAAUGAGUAUGUAGUCGUAGACCCGAAACCAUGUGAUCUACCCAUGUCCAGGUUGAAGGUGCGGUAAAACGCACUGGAGGACCGAACCCACGUACGUUGAAAAGUGCGGGGAUGAGGUGUGGGUAGCGGAGAAAUUCCAAACGAACUUGGAGAUAGCUGGUUCUCUCCGAAAUAGCUUUAGGGCUAGCCUCGGAAUUGAGAAUGAUGGAGGUAGAGCACUGUUUGGACUAGGGGCCCAUCUCGGGUUACCGAAUUCAGAUAAACUCCGAAUGCCAUUCAUUUAUAUCCGGGAGUCAGACUGCGAGUGAUAAGAUCCGUAGUCGAAAGGGAAACAGCCCAGACCACCAGCUAAGGUCCCAAAAUAUAUGUUAAGUGGAAAAGGAUGUGGGGUUGCACAGACAACUAGGAUGUUGGCUUAGAAGCAGCCACCAUUUAAAGAGUGCGUAAUAGCUCACUAGUCGAGUGACCCUGCGCCGAAAAUGUACCGGGGCUAAACAUAUUACCGAAGCUGUGGACUACACCAUUAGGUGUAGUGGUAGGAGAGCGUUCUAAGGGCGUUGAAGGUCGAUCGUGAGGACGGCUGGAGCGCUUAGAAGUGAGAAUGCCGGUAUGAGUAGCGAAAGACAGGUGAGAAUCCUGUCC